rnacentral:rRNA from 1 species
GACGAACGCUGGCGGCGUGCUUAACACAUGCGAGUCGAACGGAAAGGCCCUGCUUUUGUGGGGUGCUCGAGUGGCGAACGGGUGAGUAACACGUGAGUAACCUGCCCUUGACUUUGGGAUAACUUCAGGAAACUGGGGCUAAUACCGGAUAGGAGCUCCUGCUGCAUGGUGGGGGUUGGAAAGUUUCGGCGGUUGGGGAUGGACUCGCGGCUUAUCAGCUUGUUGGUGGGGUAGUGGCUUACCAAGGCUUUGACGGGUAGCCGGCCUGAGAGGGUGACCGGCCACAUUGGGACUGAGAUACGGCCCAGACUCCUACGGGAGGCAGCAGUGGGGAAUAUUGCACAAUGGGCGGAAGCCUGAUGCAGCAACGCCGCGUGCGGGAUGACGGCCUUCGGGUUGUAAACCGCUUUCGCCUGUGACGAAGCGUAAGUGACGGUAAUGGGUAAAGAAGCACCGGCUAACUACGUG